GCACUGAUGGGGUAGUGGUAACCUGGGUCGUUGCCAUCUGGUCGUCUCGACCCGCCGCGGGUUCGAUUCCCGCUCAGUGCA
rnacentral:tRNA from 1 species